CUGAAGCCACCGACCUCCCUUCUCAAAUCGACAAAAGUAUACGAAUGCACUUUAACUCAGAUAGCCUCCCCAUGGAGUCAAUCGCAUACCGAAAGACUGUAAUAGACUUUGACUCCAUGGCGAUUGAACUAUGCGUCUGGGAUCUGAGCGCUAUUCGCCAAUAAUAUGCACUCAGAUCUAGGCUAUCUGGGGAUGUGUUACACGAAUGAGAAAUGUUCGGCAAUUGUAAAG